rnacentral:lncRNA from 1 species
AACUCUCUUCUUAAUCUGCAGGACCAGACAUGAGCAGAUAUUACUGGAUCUUGGACAAGUGGGUCUCUAAGGAACAUCAAAGACCCUGAGAAGCCAAAAGUUAUGAAAUGCAUCAGCAGUGGGUUGAAGACAAGACCUCUCCUUUUCCUGCUGACAUUUCUUCCAUGAGCAGUACCCAGACAGCCGACAGAAAGAGCCCAGGAGAUCAAUGGUGGUGUUGGAUCAAAAUUGUAGCUCACAAGGAAAAUCCUGUAAAGGAACCAUAUUUUUC